rnacentral:rRNA from 1 species
UACGAAGGGGGCUAGCGUUGCUCGGAAUCACUGGGCGUAAAGCGCACGUAGGCGGACUCUUAAGUCGGUGGUGAAAUCCUGGAGCUCAACUCCAGAACUGCCUCCGAUACUGCGAGUCUCCGAGUCCGGGAGAGGUGAGUGGAACUGCGAGUGUAGAGGUGAAAUUCGUAGAUAUUCGCAAGAACACCAGUGGCGAAGGCGGCUCACUGGCCCGGUACUGACGCUGAGGUGCGAAAAGCGUGGGGAGCAAACAGG